AUACGGAGGUGGUUAGCGUUGUUCGGAAUCACUGGGCGUAAAGCGCGUGCAGGCGGCUAUUUAAGUUGGAUGUGAAAGCCUACGGCUCAACCGUAGAACUGCAUCCAAAACUAUUUAGCUAGAGUGUGGGAGAGGAAGAUGGAAUUAGUUGUGUAGGGGUAAAAUCCGUAGAGAUAACUAGGAAUACCAAAAGCGAAGGCAAUCUUCUGGAACACUACUGACGCUGAGGCGCGAAAGCGAGGGGAGCAAACAGGAUUAGAUACCCCAGUAGUCC
rnacentral:rRNA from 1 species